AAAGCAUCCGUGGAGCUCAAGUUUGAGGUGAAAGCAGGCUCAGAGUCCACCUGUCCUCGCUGAUCCAUGGAUUUCUGUGUGACCAGAUUACACCUAUGGAGCCGCAGCCCCGACUACCACCACUUUGGGACACAACCUGAAGACCCUCACAGUCACCUUCCCCAUCUCCACCCUCCAGUAUUCAUCAGACAGGAGCAACGGCUCAGCCACGUUCAACUCCACUGAGAGGGUCCUGCAGAGCCUGAGGAGACCCUGGUUCCAGC